rnacentral:rRNA from 1 species
UACGUAGGGUGCGAGCCUUGUCCGGCAUUAUUGGGCGUAAAGCGCUCGUAGGCGGUUUGUCACGUCGGCCGUGAAAACCUGCAGCUUAACUGUGGGCGUGCGGUCGAUACGGGCAUCACUGGAGUUCGGCAGGGGAGACUGGAAUUCCUGGUGUAGCGGUGAAAUGCGCAGAUAUCAGGAGGAACACCGGUGGCGAAGGCGGGUCUCUGGGCCGAUACUGACGCUGAGGAGCGAAAGCGUGGGGAGCAAACAGG